GAAAAACCUUUCAACCCUGAAUUGGUUGCCAACCUAAUUCAGCUGAGAAAAGCUUCUGCAUUGGAGGAUACUCAGGUUGCAGAAAUUCUGAAUGAGGUAUCAAGGAGGAUUGAGAGAGAUAAAGGUCCAGUUGUAAUGAAUAUGUCAGGUUAUACCGAGAAGGGUUUCAAGAGAAAACUAGCCGUACAGGCCCUUUUUGGCAAAAUCUUCUACCUGUCUGAGUUGCCGGAAUUCUGUUCGAGGGACAGCUCUUUAACUGUCAAAGAAAUAUUUGGUGUUACAGAUGAAGAUGCUGAAAAACUAAGAACACACACACUCUCUGAAGCUGGGGACAUGGAUUCUCU
rnacentral:misc_RNA from 1 species